GUAGGUGAACCUGCGGAAGGAUCAUUAACAUCAAUCCAAACCUACUCAACCAAGCCAACUUGUUGCAGGGCGAAAGCCUAGCAGCUAACAACCUAAGCAAAAGAAGUCUAACUAAGCUUCGAACCAAAACCAAAUCCUCAGCGAUGGAUAUCUAGGUUCCUACUACGAUGAAGAACGCAGCGAAGUGCGAUAAGCAAUGCGAAUUGCAGAGCCGAGAGUCAUCAGAUUUUUGAACGUAACUGGCGCCGGGGAGCUCUCUCCCCGGCAUGCUUCUUUCAGCGUGUGCUUCUCUCCUCACCCAAACCUUAAUGCGAUAGAUGCCCUUCUAUUGCUAAGCUCGAAAGCACUCUGUUCUCUGCAGCGAAAGCCUCACGGCCGACGCACUCAAUGCAGUAGUCACAUUCUCAAAUGUGAACUCAUUGAGAGUAGAGUCAGUGCAUGCUUGCAUGCCAGUGCUUGGACACUUAAAUUUUACAUAGCACCUGAUAUGAAGUAGGACUACCCGCUGAACUUAAGCAUUAUCAGUA
rnacentral:rRNA from 1 species